UACGUAGGGGGCAAGCGUUGUCCGGAUUUAUUGGGCGUAAAGCGCUCGCAGGUGGUUCAUUGCGUCGUGCGUGAAAGACCCCGGCUCAACUGGGGAGGGUCGUGCGAAACGGGUGAACUAGAGGCCAGUAGGGGGAUGCGGAAUUCCGGGUGUAGUGGUGGAAUGCGUAGAGAUCCGGAGGAACACCAGCGGCGAAGGCGGCAUCCUGGACCGGCAUUGACGCUGAGGAGCGAAAGCCAGGGGAGCAAACGGG
rnacentral:rRNA from 1 species